UACGGGGGGGGCAAGCGUUGUUCGGAAUUACUGGGCGUAAAGGGCUCGUAGGUGGCCAACUAAGUCAGACGUGAAAUCCCUCGGCUUAACCGGGGAACUGCGUCUGAUACUGGAUGGCUUGAGUUUGGGAGAGGGAUGCGGAAUUCCAGGUGUAGCGGUGAAAUGCGUAGAUAUCAGGAGGAACACCGGUGGCGAAGGCGAAUCUCUGGGCCUUACCUGACGCUCAGGUGCGAAAGCUAGGGGAGCGAACAGG
rnacentral:rRNA from 1 species